rnacentral:rRNA from 1 species
CAGUAGGGAAUUUUCCACAAUGGACGAAAGUCUGAUGGAGCAACGCCGCGUGCAGGAUGAAGGCUCUAGGGUCGUAAACUGCUUUUAUCUGUGACGAUAAUGACGGUAGCAGAUGAAUAAGGAUCGGCUAACUCCGUGCCAGCAGCCGCGGUCAUACGGAGGAUCCAAGCGUUAUCCGGAAUUACUGGGCGUAAAGAGUUGCGUAGGUGGCAAAGUAAGCAUGUAGUGAAAGCGUCCCGCUCAACGGGGU